GGACCGGUUGACAGGCUUAAGUUUAUGCAUUAGAAAAAUGUCCCAGGAGAAAUUGUGAUGUGCAUUAGGAAAAUGUCCAUGGAGAAUUAUGAGUGUUCUCAUAUCAAAUGCUUCUCCAACUAAUUUUUACUAAGGAUUAUUUAUGAUCAGUACGUGUUUGAGGCAGAUUCCUCUAAAAUUUAUAAUACACGCAUAUGUUCCAUCGUGGGAAGCUGAUAAGGAUCUUUUUGUUUAUCGUACUUUUUCUCAAAGCAUUUUUGGGGUUCAUGGCGAGUUACAACUUCAUGUUUCUUUAGUAGAAAGCUGUCCUUUUCCUGUUAAUAGACAAUCUUUUGGUUACUACGAAAAUCUUGAUUGUGUGAUAUUUACCUACAGAUUUAACUGAUAAUGAAGGAAAGAGCUUGGUGUUUUCAGCCUGGUGAGUGUUUAUAUCUCAUUAUUCAUGUGUAUAUGACAAUCUUUUUAUAAUCAUCUAUUAGGAAUUUCGAUGAGUCCUUGUUAUCGAGUUUUCCAAUUAAAAGUUUAAAACUUGAUAGCAUUUCUGAGUUCCUUUAACUAUAAUUUGUAUAUGUAUAUGAAGUUAGCAAUUUUUUGUUCAGUAUUACAUUUUACUAAUUUUUGCUAUAAGUUUAUACAAAUUUAUUAAUUAUCAAAGGUCAUUUUUUGUUUGUCACUUUCCGUGGAGAUUUUCCUUUUUCAUUUUGCUGGUAGAUUCAAACGGCUAUUCAGUAUCCAAAAUCCAUGGGUACUUUAUGUGAAUGUAAAAAUUAGACUGUUCUGGAUAUAAAAAAAAAAUUGGUAGUUAUUAGAUCAUUGAUUGCGUCCUACUCCGCACUACUAAUUAAGUAGCAAAAGAGGGUCGGAACAGCUUUUACUUGAUUUUGGGUCGGGAUCGAUAUCCACAGAGAGUUAGAAUUGGAAUCGAGUAUCUAUCUAGUUUAGGAUUGUGUAUGUGUUCUUAAUUACACCUCUAUUCAUUUUUGUAUUUUUUGUUUACUUCUACUAUUAUUAAACUACAAUUGGUGAUUGCAACUAAAUUAUGCUAAGAGUUAUAAUUCUACGAGUUAUUCAAAUAGGUUUAAAAGGCACUAGGGUAGUGACUUUUGCCUGGGUGGUCAAUUGACGGGUACUUGAGUCUAAGGCAUGUUUGACAUAUUUGGGGAGUAUGAUAUAACCAUUGCAUCUCUCGGGGUUGGGUGUGGGAUAUCUAGGGUUUCCCAUAGGGGAUUAAUGUUUUAGCUUAUGUCUCCUUAUGAGUGUUAGUAUGGUAGUUACGGCUUGUUAUUAUUGCAUUNNNNNNNNNNNNNNNNNNNNNNNNNNNNNNNNNNNNNNNNNNNNNNNNNNNNNNNNNNNNNNNNNNNNNNNNNNNNNNNNNNNNNNNNNNNNNNNNNNNNNNNNNNNNNNNNNNNNNNNNNNNNNNNNNNNNNNNNNNNNNNNNNNNNNNNNNNNNNNNNNNNNNNNNNNNNNNNNNNNNNNNNNNNNNNNNNNNNNNNNNNNNNNNNNNNNNNNNNNNNNNNNNNNNNNNNNNNNNNNNNNNNNNNNNNNNNNNNNNNNNNNNNNNNNNNNNNNNNCUCUGCCCUUUCGGGCAGGGGUAAGGCUCGUCUACCUAUUACCCUCCCCAGACCCCACCUGGUGGGACUACCUGGGUAGUUGUUGUUGUUGUUGUUGAUAUAACCAUUGCACUAAUUUAUCCACUCUACACCUCUCGGUGGCAAGUGAUUUUGCCCAGAGAAACCAAUUUGGUAUGCAAAUUUGCACAAGCAACUAGGGUUCAAGUCGGGUAUUACUCUCUCGAGAUUUAACCUUUUAGUUGGGGCUAUCAAUCUCUUGAGUACGCCCCAAUUCCUUGUUGGAGCAAUUUUGGAGACUUAAGCUCUCUUUCUCAAGUAAAGCUCAAGUCAACUCAAAACAAACUAGUGUUUGCAACCAUUAAUUCAGAAUUAACCAUGAGAUUGGCCCAAAUAACAAACACCCAUAGUCAAAUUAGCCCUAAAAUACAAGACCCAUCAAUUGCCCACACUAGGGUUGAGCCACAACCGUAGCUAAUGCAGCUAGCUACUCAUAAUCGAAGAAGAAAAACAAGAAAUAGAUGAAGAUUAACUCAUAUUAAUUAAUCACUAAGUUAAAUACAAAGAUUCAAUGAUUAAAAGUAGCUAAAAGUGCCCAAAAUAGCUAAGCAUCCCGAACCCACGAGUGCAGCUGCUUAAUUACAAUAUCUGAUACCCCAAAAAUAAAAAAAGAAUCCAUUUAUAUAAAGCUAAAAAAUCUGGACAAAAAUGCCUCUGUGGGGUUAGUGUGGACUACCAGAGUGGAUUGUGGCUGCACUAGGACUCUUAGCUUCAAAAUCCAACUAUCUGAACUCAGGCUCUGCGGACCGCACAGAAUGGACUGUGGCCGCAGUGACUUCUAAUGCGGUCCGCACAAAUGGAUUGCGGGCCGCAUUGGCUUGAAAGCUCCAAACUGCAACUUCUCUGAAUCUUGGCUCUGCGGACCACACAGAAUGGUAGUGCGGACCGCACUAAAGUGCAGACGCAUUACCCUUUAGCCUGAACACCUGCUCUCUGAACUUCCUAGUGCGGACCACACAAAGUGGUAUGCGGCCGCAAUGGACCUAUUUUGCCUGAGCUUGUCUUGUCUUUGGCACUCGUGCAAGUUUCACUCAUUUUGAGCUGAUCUUUGAUAUCUUGUCACUUUGUUGAUCAAACCUGCAAUCACGCACAAAUUAUGAGCCUUUUGGAAUUAUUUUAUAUGAAUUUCUAACCAAAGAAUGAGCAAGAAGCAGUAUAAAAUGUGUCAAAAUUCCUAGUUAUCAACUCCCCCAAAACUUAAGCUUUUGCUUGUCCUCAAGCAAACAAAAUAAGACCCACCCCUUAAGGAAAAAUCUAAGAAAUUUUCAACUGUCCUAAAGCAACCUCAACUAGCAUCAAUUGGGACUAACAAUUGCCUUCAAUACAAAUGAAUCAUUAACAACAUUUACUCUUUGAAAAACCAUGGAUCAAGUGCGACACAAGAGCAUCAAGAGUUGACUCAACUCAUCAAAGAACUCUUUCAAUUACUUUGGUUAUUGUGAAACCCAAACUCACACAUUCUCAACUCUCCCUAAGCAAACCUCACCUUUAGAAUAGUGGCACACAAAAUGAGAUUAAUGGAAAUUCACUCAUCUCUUUCAAAAAAAAGUCACAAGUCUGGCUCUAAGUACCAUAUGCUUGCCCCUUAUGUGAGUAUCCACUAAUGUCAACUCUUCCUAAGCAAAACUCACCUUUUAUAAUAUUGGCACACAAAUCGAGGUUAAUGGGAUUUCACUCCUUUCUCUCAAGAAAAGGUCACAAGUAAGUACCAUAUGCUUGCCCCUUAUGUAAGCAUACACUAAUGUAUGCUUCAUUCAACUCAAGAUCACAUAGGUCUUUUGUUAAGUCAUUGUGAAGGAUUUGUGGAUUAAGGGUAGGAAAUGUUUUGGUCUAAGUAGGUUCCAUCUUCCCUUAAACACUUCUUUUGAUUCAUUUGACACACAUUCACUUGACUCUUUGAGUCAUUUCACUUCUUUCUAAGGGGUUAGAGAGACACACUAUCACUCUUUCUUAUGCAUUUCAAACCUUUUCUCCUUUUCCAACUUUCCAUACCUUACAUUCUUUGUUUUGCUUGAAUCCCUUUUUAUUCUUUUUCACAUUGAUCGUGUUUUUUUGUCUUUUUGUUUUUCUUUCUUUUUCAUUGCGUUUCCUUUUCUUCAUUUUUGUGCCUUUUUACCACUUUGUUGCAAGCCUCGUCUUUUCCCCUAAACUUAUACUUUUGCCAUGUGUUAAAGUAAAGAUCGGGUGCCAAGAAAUGGUAUCUUUUGGAACAGGUGUAGGCUUGUAUCAUGGUUAUUGAAAGAAAAAGGUCUAAGGCUCAAAAGGGCUGACUAUGGAUCUUAUUGUUGGAAGUCUAUGGAAUUGUUCAAACUAUCAUUUGGAUCAAGGAGAGCUUAUAAUCAUGUCUCAAGUCAAAAUUCACUUAGGAUUUCGCCUCAACAAAUAUUCAUGGCAAGUUCUAGACCAAUGACUCGGUGAAAAUAGCCAUCAUGCAUCGUUGGAACAUCGUUGGGGCAUUACACAACCUGAACAUCAUCGAGAGAAAGCAAAUGUGCCAUGUGGACAAGUAAAUGUGGUCUUCUAUUGAUCCUCCGGAGCGAUUAAGAUUUGAUUAUAUCCCGAAUAUCUAUUCAAAAAGAAAUAAAAAGGCCCCACCGCAAGACGAUCACGUAUUUGGUCAAGGAAUGGCAACGGGAAGUGAUCCCUGCGGGUCACCAUGUUCAGCUUGCGGUAGUCUAUGCAAACCCUCCAUCCGACAACUGUCCGAGUGAGAACAAGUUCAUUGUUGUCAUUUGUCACCAUAGUCAUCCCACCCUUCUUCUGCACACAUUGCACCAGAGAAGUCCAUGAGCUAUCGGAGAUAGGGUACACAACCCCGGCUUCUAACCACUUUAUUCACCACUUCUUGUAUUGCUUCGUUUAACCUCCUUUGAUGUUCCAACGAGGGUUUUGCAUCAUCCUCCAAAAUGAUCUUGUGCAUACAGAAUGCGAGGCUUAUUCCCCGAAUGUCGGCCAAGGUCCAUCCAAUUGCCUUCUUCCUCUUUUUAAGCAUCGCCAAAGUGGCGUCUACCUGCAAGUUAGUAAGACAAGAAGAAAGAAUAAUUGAUAAAGUAUAACUAGGGCCUAAGAACUCAUACCUGAGCUGGGGAGGCAAUGACUUCAACUCCAACACCAGAGGUUCCUCAAUUGAAGGCUUUGUUGGAGGAGUCUUUCUAUUUUCAAGGUCCAAGGAUAACUUCCAAGGCUCAUAGAAUAAGAGCUCAUCCCAUGCAAAGCAUUCACGCACUCCACUCGGCCCUCAUCGUCAUUGACAUCAAGAUUUAACAACAAAGCCUCCAAUAGGUCCACAUUAAUCAUAGCACUUGUAUCAUCAAUUAUCACAGUCGUGACUAGAUCCACAAAUGAGCACACUUUGGUACAAUCGGGCUGCUUUAUUGACUUGCAUACACGGAAUACUACCUUUUCAUCACCUACCCGGAAAGUGAGUUCCACGGCUUCCAUAUCAACUAGAGCCUUCCCCGUAGCAAGGAAAUGUCUCCUCAAUAUGAUCAGGACUUCAUAGUCCACCUCGCAAUCCAAUAUCACAAAAUUCGCUGGCAAGAUAAAUUUGUCCACCGGACAAGCACAUCAUCUACAAUACCUAAAGGUUGCUUCAUUGAUCUAUCCGCCAUUUGCAAUCUCAUGGAAGUUGGCCUUGGUGGCCCAAUACCUAAAGUAUUGAAAACUGAGUAGGGCAUCAAGUUGAUACUUGCCCUUAGAUCACAUAAAGCUUUAGCAAAGUCUGCGCUACCAAUAGUGCAAAGGAUGGUGAAAGCAUCGGGGUCCUCCAACUUCGGAGACAUUGAAUGUACUAUAGCACUAACUUGGUGGAUCAUCAUGAUAGUUUCACAGUCCAUGGAUCUUUUCUUGGUCAACAAAUCUUUCAUGAAUUUAGCAUAGCCAAGCAUUUGCUCCAAAGCCUCCACCAAAGGCACAUUGAUGGAUAAGCUCUUCAUCAUGUCAAUGAACCUUUUUAACAAAUUCUCACUUUUCUGUUUGGCUAGCCUUUGAGGAUAAGGUGGAGGUGGUCUAGGCAAAGAUGCCUUGACUUUUGGCACAACCGGGUCCGGCAUGCUUUUUAAAUUGAUUCUCACUUUUCUGCUUGGCUAGCCUUUGAGGAUAUGAUGGAGGUAGUUCAGGAAAGGGUGCCUUUAAUUUUGGCACGACCAGCUUCGGCAUGUCAAUUACAUGUUCCCUAUACGAGGUACACGUCACUUUACGUUUCCACCUCAGCAUCUUGAAUAUCAAUCCUCACAUCUUCAUUCAUAUUUUCAUCAACCACAUUCUCAGCCACCAAAGGACUUCAUCUUCUUGCAACUCAACUUCAUCACCCAAAACUUGCUUUUGUUUGGGGGCAUUCACAUCACUGCCUCGUUCACUCCUAGUGGUCACCGCUAUAACAUGAUUAUUCCCGUCCUUCGGGUUCACUACCGUAUCACUUGGUAGAGAUUUGACCUAGUUGCACCUCCAAAUUUCUAAUGGAAUUAUUGUGAGAAGACAAUUGAGCAUCCGAAUCCGCAUUCUUCUUCAUCAUUUUUUCGAACAUCAUUUCAAUUUUACCCAUAUUAUUGCUAGAAGAACUAGGACCUUGGGAAGGAAAAUGUGGUGGAUUGCUCGGUUGUUGGUACAUUGGGGGCUUUUGAAAACCUUGCCCCUGAUUUCCUUGGUUAUUAUUCCACCCAUAUUGGUUGUUGUUGUUUCCACCCUAAUUGUUGUUGUUGUUUUCCCAAUUUUCUUGAUUGCUCCGAUUGUUGUUUUGAUUUCCCUAAUUCGAAUUUUGAUUAUUGUUUCCCUAAUUGUUGUUCCCUUGUUGAUGAUUGUUCCAAUUAUUGUUACCUUGUUGUUGAUUGCCCCAAUUACCUUGGGACCUCCAUUGUUGUUGGUUGGGAGAAUUGCCUCUUUGACCUUGAUAAUUGUUCACAUAUUGUACCUCUUCAUUUUGCCCAUCAUAGCCAUCAUCUUGAAAUCCACUACUAUCAUUGUCAAAUUGAUCCAAAUUCCCUUGGUCCUGUUGACCUCUUUGCCUUCUUUGAUUCACUCGCUUUUUAAUACCCUCCAUGGCAUUCACUUUGCAAGGAUUUUGGUAUUGUCACAUUGAUCCGAACUACUUUAGUGUUGUUGACCUCUUUGCCUUCUUUGGUUCACUAGCAUAUUAACACCCUUCAUAGCAUUCACUUGGCGAGGAUUUUGGAGUUGUUACAACUGUGCCUUUGCUAGUUGGUUCAUGGUAGUUGUCAAUUCCUCUAUCGCUUGCCCAUGGUCAUGUAACUUUUUGUGCAAAUGAGUGACUGUGGGGUCACCCUAGGGAACAUUGGCUCUACUUUUCUAUGCGGAGGAUGUAUCUGCCAUCUCAUCAAGAAUGACACAAGCUUCACCAUACAACUUCAUAAAAUUACCCCCAGCGAGUUGAUUGUCUAUGCAUUGAUUUGUAAUAUUGAUUUCCCGGUAGAAAGUUUGUUGCAACAUAUUCUCCGUGAUGUCAUUGUUGGGGUAUUCCUUCCCCAUAGUUCUAUAUCUCUCGCAAAUGUCAUGCAAAGGUUCGGUGGGCUCCUGCUUGAAAGCCAAUAUCUCAUCCAGCAAAGCCGCCAUAAGUCUCGGUGAGAAAAAUUUGACAAUGAGCUUAUCCGCCAACUCAUACCAAGUUGUAAUAAAAUGGUUGGGAAGUCGUUUAAGCCAAUCCAAUGCUUUUCCCCUAAGUGAGAAUGGGAAAAGCCUCAAUCGAAGUGCUUCUUCGGACACAUUAGUUUGCUUGCCCCCUUAUCAGGUAUCCACAAAUCCUUUGAGAUGUUUGUAAGCAUUUUGAGUGGAAGCGCCCGUGAAGUACUCAUGCUACUCCAACAAUGUCAGUAUCAUAUUAGUAAUUUGAAAAUUGCCCGCCUGGAUUCGGUGUGGGACAAUUGCACUUGCAUAGCUUUGGUUUGGGAGCACGCGCGAAACCGCUCUUGGAAGUAGUGGAGAAGGGUCUGGAAUAUUUUCAUUAACAUUGGCUUGGUGGCCUCGUCGUGGUCCAGGAGGUACAAGAGGCACCUCAUCCUCUCCAAUAUCAUCAACCUCCUNNNNNNNNNNNNNNNNNNNNNNNNNNNNNNNNNNNNNNNNNNNNNNNNNNNNNNNNNNNNNNNNNNNNNNNNNNNNNNNNNNNNNNNNNAGGCACCUCAUCCUCUUCAAUAUCAUCAACCUCCUCCCCUGCAAGCACGUUUCCAAGAAGGUAAUUAGCAUUUAAAGCCAUUUGGUACCUAAAGUAUUAACGCACACAAAUUAGUAAAUAAGAAGGAAAGAAGAACAAUACACAAAACUAACUAAAUAGAUAGCCAAAACCGUUAGCUCCCUGGCAACGGAGCCAAAAAGUGAUCGCGUCCUACUCCGCACUACUACUUAAGUAGCAAGAGAGGGUCGGAGCAGCUUUUACCCAAUUUUGGGUCGGGAUUGAUAUCCACAGAGAGUUAGAAUUGGAAUCGAGUAUCUAUCUAGUUUCGGAUUGCGUAUGUGUUCUUAAUUACACUUCUAUUCAUUUUUUUGCUUACUUCUACUAUUAUUAAACUACAAUUGGUGAUUGCAACUAAAUUAUACUAAGAGUUAUAAUGGUACGAGUUGUUCAAAUAUGUUUAAAAGACACUAGAGUAGUGACUCCGCCUAGGUGGUCAAUUGACGGGUACUUGAGUCUAAGACACGUUUGACAUAUUUGGGGAGUAUGAUAUAACUGUUGCACUAAUUUAUCCACUCUACACCUCUCGGUGGUUCAAGUGAUUUUGCCCAAUUGACUCUUUCAAGAUCAAUUAGGUAUGCAAAUUUGCACGAGCAACUAGGGUUCUAGUCGGGAAUUACUCUCUCGAGGUUUAACCCUUUAGUUGGGGCUAUCAAUCUCUUGAGUACGCUCCAAUUCCUUGUUGGAGCAAUUUUGGAGACUUAGGCUCUCUUUCUCAAGUAAAGCUCAAGUCAACUCAAAACAAAUUAGUGUUUGCAACCAUUAAUUCAGAAAUUAACCAUGAAAUUGGCCCAAAUAAAAAACACUCAUAGUCAAAUUAGCCCUAAAAUACAGGACCCAUCAAUUACCCAUACUAGGGUUGAGCCACAACCCUAGCUAAUGAGUCUAGCUACUCAUAAUUGAAGAAGAAAAACAAGAAAUAGAUGAAGAUAAACUCAUAUUAAUUAAUCACUAAAUUAAAUUCAAAGCUUCAAUGAUUAAAAGUAGCUAAAAGUGCCCAAAAUAGCUAAGAAUCUUCAACCCACAAGCGCAACUGGAUAUUAAUUAAUCGCUAAGUUAAAUACAAAGAUUCAAUGAAUAAAAGUAGCUAAAAAAAGUGCCAAAAAUAGCUAAGAAUCUCGAACCCAUGAGUGUAGCUACUUAAUUACAAUAUCAGAUACUCUAAAAAUGGAUCAAGAAUCUAUUUAUACUAAGCUGAAAAAUCUGGACAAAAAUUUCCCUGCGGGGUUAGUGCGGACCGCAGAAUGGACUGCGGCCGCACUAGGACUCUUGGCUUCAAAAUCCAGCUCUCUGAACUCAAGCUCCGCGGACUGCACAUAAUAAACUGUAGUCGCAGUGACUUUUAGUGUGGUCCGCACAAAAUGGAUUGCGAACCGCAUUGGCUUGAAAGCUCCAAACUGUAACUUCUCUGAAUCUUGGCUCCGCGGAGCGCACAGAAUGGUAGUGCGACCGCAUGGGCUCCAGUGCGGACCGCACUAAAUCUAGUGCGGCCGCAUUGCCUUUUAGCAGGAACACCUGCUCUCUGAACCUCCUAGUACGGGCCGCACAAAGUGGUGUGCGGCCGUGCAUUGGACCUAUUUUGCCCGACUUGUCUUGUCUUGUCUUUGGCACUCGUACAAGUUUCACUCCUUUUGAGUAGAUCUUUGGCAUCUUGUCACUUUGUUGAUCAAACCUGCAAUCAAGUAUAACUUAUGAGCCUUUUGGGACUAUUUUGUAUGAAUUCCUAAUCAAAGCAUGAGCAAGAAGAAGUAUAAAAUGUGUCAAAAUCCCUAGUUAUCAAAUAUAUUCAUAUUAAAUUCUAAGCAUUUUUCUUUUAAUUUUUCAUUGCCUUUGGUUCUUUAAUAAGACAUUAUUAAAAGAGAUAUGAAUACUGUUAAAAGAGCUAUACAUUCUCUUAGCAGGGAGUUCCACUAUUUGCUAAGGAUACUGAUAUGCUGACAAUUACAGUACCAUAGAGCAAUAAUCUACUAUGAGUUGUUCAGCGAAGAGUUUUGACGUGUUUGCUUAUUUGUCAUUACAUUUAAAGACAAGCGCAUCUUUGAAAUUUCAAUUGCGUCCAGUUGUUGUAUUAGUAUGCUUCUUCCUAAGUCCUUACGUGUUCUUUCCAUCUAUCCGAGUUAUCCCUAUCUAUGAAUCAUUUCCACUCUCCAAUUCUUCAUUUCUUUGCUUCUCUUAUGUGCCUCUUCUCCUUCCAUCUAACUCUGUGAUUUUGCUGAUUGUUUUAUACUACUAGUAUCGAGCACUAUCCAGAACAUGUGAUUUUUAGCUGUAAUCUCUCAUCUUUGGACGGCUUUAGAUUGGUAUGUCAAUUAGUAUAUGAAAUUUCAAUUAUAUUCUUUGUAUUUCUAUUUAUAGUUUUCGCGGGUGUUCCAUUGUCUUUAUUUUAUGACUUCAAUUUCCUCUUAUUUCUUCCUUCAAUUUAAUGAAGUUGCGUUUUUCCUCAGAUUCACUUAAACUUUUUUGAUUUUGCAAAGAAUAACCUAGCUCUUGAUUUGGCUUCCGCUGGUCUGACUUUUUCGGCAAAUGCUUUAUUAAUGAAUUUGAGCAAGGUAAGAUUAUCCUUCCAUGUCCUCCUUGUUCUUAGAAAUACUCAGAAUGAUUCUCUUUUCUUUUUAUUAUUUUUUCAUUUGAGGGUGAGGGAUGAGAUUUCACUGUAGCUUUUGGCUUUCAAAGUGCGUUUCCGAUAUUUGUUGUUGUGUUUUGUGUGGCCCUAAAAUUGCUGAUAUUUUGGAUAUGGUUACACAAAUUACUUUCAAUACAAAGGUCAUAUCCGAACAAGCUACUUUCUGGUGAUUUAAUUUGGUAACGGAAAAUAAAACAUUUUGAUUACUGAAUGUCAUAUGGAAUUCGGCAACUGCUUUAGCAUUUAAUGUCUCGGCAUAGGACAAAGUUGCUCAUACCAUUAAUCUUAGCUAGAGUGCAAUUAAAAAGAAAGCUUCCUGACAUAACCUGCACUGAGAUACUCAUUUAUGAAUUUUUUCUUGGUGUAAGUUGCAUUUUUCUGUACAAAAAGAAAAGUGCUUUGCAACUAUCCAAUAUUGUUACAAUAGUAAUACUUUGAUUUGGUCUGGUUAAUGUUUGUGCAUGGAUAUAAAACUGAAACUCAAGGGAUAAAAUUAAACAAAACAUUACCCAAAUUUAUAGUAAUAAUAUUUCAUCCAAGCAUAAAUCUAGGAAUUUAUGUUUAGUUAUCUUUGUUACUAUAGUUCCUUCUAACUUCUAAACUGCAAAGUUACUACCUAAUUUUCUAGGUUUUGUUUUUCUUCAGAAUUUGACAAGUCCAUACAUUUUCUUCUUAUGUGCUAUGUAUUUACUUGCUUUAAAUUUAAGCUCCUUCGUUUCCUUUGAGAUAUUUUACGUUUCUUGGUCAAUAUAAUUCUAAUCGAUGAAGUAGAUUUCUUGUGAAGUUAAUCUACAAUGGUUUCCCACUUAUUUUAGUUCACAUUAAAAUGCCUCUACUUGCCUUUUGUCUCAUAUGUGCUACUAUACCAACUUCUUUUCCCCUAGCUUUCCACCGAACCUAUAUUAACAGGAUCUAUUUUGAGAGAAUAUUGAAGAAGAAUUUGAACCUCCACUGAAGACAUUCAAAUAAAAUAUCAUUAAUUGUAUUGACAUAUGAAGUUCACACCAGUUCAUUGUAGUCUAGGGGAAAGCAUGAUAAAAUACUGCUUAAGUGUUAUAAAAUAAUAUAAAAGACAAGAACAAUAUAGAUAGAAUAGGGAGAGAGAGUAGUAUUUUUAUUGAUACUUGGGAUUGUUAGGGAUGGUUUACGAUGGUAGAAGACCCCUUUAUUUAUAGGGAGGGGGAUGAUUUA
rnacentral:lncRNA from 1 species